UACGUAGGGAGCAAGCGUUGUCCGGAAUCAUUGGGCGUAAAGCGCGCGUAGGCGGCCCGAUAAGUCCGCUGUGAAAGUCAACGGCUCAACUGUUGGAUGCCGGUGGAUACUGUCGGGCUAGAGUACGGAAGAGGCAAGUGGAAUUCCUGGUGUAGCGGUGGAAUGCGCAGAUAUCAGGAGGAACACCUAUAGCGAAGGCAGCUUGCUGGGACGUUACUGACGCUAGGGCGCGAAAGCGUGGGGAGCGAACAG
rnacentral:rRNA from 1 species